AUUGAACGCUGGCGGCAGGCUUAACACAUGCAAGUCGAGCGGAGAUGAGGUGCUUGCACCUUAUCUUAGCGGCGGACGGGUGAGUAAUGCUUAGGAAUCUGCCUAUUAGUGGGGGACACCAUUCCGAAAGGAAUGCUAAUACCGCAUACGCCCUACGGGGGAAAGCAGGGGAUCUUCGGACCUUGCGCUAAUAGAUGAGCCUAAGUCGGAUUAGCUAGUUGGUGGGGUAAAGGCCUACCAAGGCGACGAUCUGUAGCGGGUCUGAGAGGAUGAUCCGCAACACUGGGACUGAGACAAGGCCCAGACUCCUACGGGAGGCAGCAGUGGGGAAUAUUGGACAAUGGGCGGAAGCCUGAUCCAGCCAUGCCGCGUGUGUGAAGAAGGCCUUUUGGUUGUAAAGCACUUUAAGCGAGGAGGAGGCUACCUGGAUUAAUACUCUAGGAUGGUGGACGUUACUCGCAGAAUAAGCACCGGCUAACUCUGUGCCAGCCGCCGCAGUAAUAC
rnacentral:rRNA from 1 species